AUGCUGGGCGUUGGCUUAUAUGGCUACAUUGAUCAAACCAUCUAGGAGCCUUCCAAAACAAUCACAACCGAAGACAAAGAGGGAAAGGAUCAGGUCACCCCAAAUACUGCCUACGCCCCCUGGCUCGUCCAGGACCAGAAUAGCAUUGCCUAUCUCCUCCGCAAUCUUUCCAAUGAGGUCCUCGUUCAGGUUGCCUCCCUUGAAACCUCCCACGCGAUCUGGACUGCCCUUGCAUCUAUGUUUGUGGAUGUCUCACUGUCGCGUGCCAACAAUCUUCGCGCCACUCCCACCAAU
rnacentral:rRNA from 1 species